AAUACAUGCAAGUCGAGCGGACUUGAUGGAGUGCUUGCACUCCUGAUGGUUAGCGGCGGACGGGUGAGUAACACGUAGGUAACCUGCCUGUAAGACUGGGAUAACAUUCGGAAACGAAUGCUAAUACCGGAUACGCGAAUUGGUCGCAUGGCCGAUUCGGGAAAGACGGAGCAAUCUGUCACUUACAGAUGGACCUGCGGCGCAUUAGCUAGUUGGUGAGGUAACGGCUCACCAAGGCGACGAUGCGUAGCCGACCUGAGAGGGUGAUCGGCCACACUGGGACUGAGACACGGCCCAGACUCCUACGGGAGGCAGCAGUAGGGAAUCUUCCGCAAUGGACGAAAGUCUGACGGAGCAACGCCGCGUGAGUGAUGAAGGUUUUCGGAUCGUAAAGCUCUGUUGCCAGGGAAGAACGCUUGGGAGAGUAACUGCUCCCAAGGUGACGGUACCUGAGAAGAAAGCCCCGGCUAACUACGUGCCAGCAGCCGCGGUAAUACGUAG
rnacentral:rRNA from 1 species